rnacentral:rRNA from 1 species
AGUCUGCAACUCGACUACAUGAAGCCGGAAUCGCUAGUAAUCGCGGAUCAGAAUGCCGCGGUGAAUACGUUCCCGGGUCUUGUACACACCGCCCGUCACACCAUGGGAGCCGGAAAUGCCCGAAGUCAGUGACCCAACCAAUAAGGAGGGAGCUGCCGAAGGCAGGUCUGGUGACUGGGGUGAAGUCGUAACAAGGUAUC